rfam:Trichuris trichiura, WGS project CBXK01000000 data, contig: TTRE_882
GGUCGGAUAAGGCGCUCGCGUCGCAUCCGACACCCCGCGCCGAUGCCUGAUGCGACGCUGGCGCGUCUUAUCAUGCC